UGGAACACUGGAUGGUAAAACCCCCAAAGGAAAGAAGGAUUCUUGGUUCUCUAGAGGAGAAGAGGAGGAUUUGUGAAACUAGACGGGCAAUUACAGGAUUUUUC
rnacentral:lncRNA from 1 species